rnacentral:rRNA from 1 species
GACGAACGCUGGCGGCGUGCCUAAUACAUGCAAGUUGAACGCUUCUUUCUUAUCGAACUUCGGUUCACCAAGAAAGAGGAGUAGCGAACGGGUGAGUAACACGUGGGUAACCUGCCCAUCAGCGGGGGAUAACACUUGGAAACAGGUGCUAAUACCGCAUAAUGCUUUUUCUCACAUGAGAGAAAGCUGAAAGGCGCUUUUGCGUCACUGAUGGAUGGACCCGCGGUGCAUUAGCUAGUUGGUAGGGUAACGGCCUACCAAGGCAACGAUGCAUAGCCGACCUGAGAGGGUGAUCGGCCACACUGGGACUGAGACACGGCCCAGACUCCUACGGGAGGCAGCAGUAGGGAAUCUUCGGCAAUGGACGAAAGUCUGACCGAGCAACGCCGCGUGAGUGAAGAAGGUUUUCGGAUCGUAAAAACUCUGUUGUUAGA